rnacentral:rRNA from 1 species
GCUCAAAUUUGAAAUCUCACAGGUUCCCUGUGCGAAUUGUAGUUUAGAGAAUCGUUUUCGAGGGCGUCUUGAGCACAAGUUCUUUGGAACAGGACAUCAUAGAGGGUGAGAAUCCCGUCUUUGGCUCAAAGUACGUUCUUGUGUGAUACGAAUUCCAAGAGUCGGUUUGUUUGGGAAUGCAGACCAAAAUGGGUGGUAAAUACCAUCUAAAGCUAAAUAUUGGCGAGAGACCGAUAGCGAACAAGUACCGUGAGGGAAAGAUGAAAAGAACUUUGAAAAGAGAGUUAAAAGUACGUGAAAUUGUCAAAAGGGAAACGCUUGAAAUCAGUGUUGCUGAAAGAAAUCAAUCGUUAACGAUGCACUUUCUGGAAGCAGGUCAACAUCGAUUUGGCAAAAAGUAAAAAGCAAUUGGAAUGUGACUCUUGGGUGUUAUAGACAAUUGUAAUACUUUGGGCUGGAUCGAGGAAUGCAGUACUUUUGGAGGUCUGGUCGCCUUUGAAGACAAAAAAUUAGACAGCAUGCUGACUACUUUUAUUGUUGAUGAGCACGGUCAGUUCCCUUACACCAGUACUUUGGAUGUUGACGAAAUGGUUUUAAACGACCCGUCUUGAGACACGGACCAAGGAGUCUAACAUGUAUGCGAGUAUUUGGGUGGCAAACCCUUAUGCGUAAUGAAAGUAAUUGGUGGGAAAUUUGCACCAUCGACCGGUCUGGAUUUCUUUGAAAGAUCUGAGUAAGAGCAUAUAUGCUGGGACCCGAAAGAUGGUGAACUAUGCCUGAAUAGGGUGAAGCCAGAGG